rnacentral:rRNA from 1 species
AGUGAACGCUGGCGGUAGGCCUAACACAUGCAAGUCGAACGGCAGCACAGUAAGAGCUUGCUCUUACGGGUGGCGAGUGGCGGACGGGUGAGGAAUACAUCGGAAUCUACUUUUUCGUGGGGGAUAACGUAGGGAAACUUACGCUAAUACCGCAUACGACCUACGGGUGAAAGCAUGGGAUCUUCGGACCUUGCGCGAUUGAAUGAGCCGAUGUCGGAUUAGCUAGUUGGCGGGGUAAAGGCCCACCAAGGCGACGAUCCGUAGCUGGUCUGAGAGGAUGAUCAGCCACACUGGAACUGAGACACGGUCCAGACUACUAAGGGAGGCAGCAGUGGGGAAUAUUGGACAAUGGGCGUAAGCAUGAUCCAGCCAUACCGCGUGGGUGAAGAAGGCCUUCGGGUUGUAAAGCCCUUUUGUUGGGAAAGAAAAGCAGCAGGUUAAUACCCCGCUGUUCUGACGGUACCCAAAGAAUAAGCACCGGCUAACUUCGUG